GACAGAGGUCCCGAGCGUUAGGCGGAAUCACUGGGCUUAAAGCGUGUGUAGGCGGCGGCCUAAGUACCUUGUGAAAUCCCACGGCUCACCCGUGGAACUGCUCGGUAUACUGGGUCGCUUAAGCCACUUAGGGGCUACCGGAACAAAUGGUGGAGCGGUGAAAUGCGUAGAUAUCAUUUGGAACGCCAAUGGUGAAAACAGGUAGCUGGGAGUGUGCUGACGCUGAGACACGAAAGCCAGGGGAGCAAACGGG
rnacentral:rRNA from 1 species